GAGGCAGGCAGGUAGGCUCGGCGCGGUGACGUCACCCCGCCGCGGCUCUCGCGCCCAGCCCGCCCUUUUCUCUCCUCAGCCCUGUGGAGGAGCCGUUAGAAAAUGGCCGCCGCGCCGAGCGGAGAGGAGAGACUGGAAGAAAAGUCAGAGGAUCAGGAUCUUCAAGGCCAAAAAGAUAAGCCUCCGAAACUCAGGAAAGUAAAAAAGGAUCAAAAAGAUGAGGAAGAAAAACCAGAACAGCCGCAUCCUUCCGCGUACCAGUCAGGAGAACCUGCCGAAGCCGGGAAAGCUGAGGUCUCUGAGAGUACAGAGGCAGCCCCAGCUGGUCCCGAAGCCUCUGCUUCUCCCAAACAGAGACGGUCUGUUAUUAGAGACAGAGGGCCCAUGUACGAUGACCCAACUCUUCCUGAAGGCUGGACUAGGAAACUCAAACAAAGGAAGUCUGGUCGUUCAGCCGGGAAAUAUGAUGUAUAUUUGAUCAAUCCAAAUGGAAAAGCUUUUCGAUCCAAAGUUGAGCUUAUAGCAUACUUCCAAAAGGUAGGCGAUACAUCUCUUGACCCCAAUGAUUUCGACUUCACUGUAACUGGCAGAGGAAGCCCAUCAAGGAGGGAGCAGAAACAGCCAAAAAAACCCAAAGCUCCGAAACCUGCUGGUACAGGCAGAGGAAGGGGAAGACCUAAAGGAAGUGUCAAGUCAAAGCAUGCAGUCAAAUCUGAAGGAGUGCAGGUGAAAAGAGUGAUAGAAAAAAGUCCAGGAAAACUCCUAGUGAAAAUGCCCUAUUCCGAAACCAAGCAAGAAUCUGACGCAACAACUUCGGAACAGGUAUUGGUAAUCAAAAGGCCUGGGCGUAAAAGAAAAUCAGAAACGGAACCGCCAGCUGCCCCCAAAAAACGGGGACGCAAACCCGGUAGCGCUAGUGUUGCUGCAGCUGCGGCAGAAGCAGCAAAGAAAAAAGCAAUCAAAGAGUCUUCCAUCAAGCCUCUCCUAGAGACCGUAUUACCAAUAAAAAAACGUAAAACCCGGGAGACUGUGAGUGCAGAUGUUAAAGAGACGGCGACACCAGAGUGUCCUUCGCCUGUCUCGGAAAGAAGCAACAAAGGACAGAAACCUACAAAAAGUCCUGAGAGCAAAAGCAAAGAAAGCAGUCCGAAAGGGAAGACCAGCUUCCCGAAAAAGGAGCAGCAGCAGCAGCACCACCAUCACCACCAUCACCAUCAUCACUCCGAAACCAAGGCGUCCACAACCAACCCGGAGCCAGAGACUUCAAAGGACAGCAUAAGCACCCAGGAACCCCAGGACUUAACUGUCAAAAUCUGCAAAGAUGAGAAGAUGCCAGAAAGCGAUGGCUGCGCCCAGGAGCCCGCUAAGACUCAACCUGUCGAUAAGUGCAGAAACAGAGCGGAAAGCGAGAGAAAAGACAUUGUUCCUUCAGGUGUACCGAGGCCGACUAGGGAGGAACCAGUGGACACCAGAACGCCGGUGACGGAGAGAGUUAGUUGACUUUGAGAAGAAUAUUAUAAAAAAACAAAACAAAAAAAAAACGUUAAAUAAUAAAGGCAGCUGUUGUCUCUUCUCCUUGUGGGUAGGGCUCUGACAAAGCUUCCCUAUAAAUGAAGUAAAGAAAAGUCUAUUUUUUUCCACCUGUAGCUUGGAGUUUCGUAGCUUCGGGGUGGGAGUGAAUGUCGAAUGUGGAUCUUUUUAAUACCAACGAGCACAGUCAGUCAGGGGUGAAGACUUCUAACAGAGCCAGAAGCAGCUUUGCACUUUUUUUAUACUUAAUAGGCUCCCUUCAACAUGGCUUACUCUGCAUCAUACUACUGACCAAGGUGGGCUGUUUCCUCAACUUUUUAGUAUAGGAACCAAUAUUACAGCUCCAAGCCCCCAACAAUGAACAGUAGCACCUGCGCUGUGUGACAACUAGAAAACAUGUGGAAGCGGUUUCUACAGCAAUAUGUGUUUGGGCGCCCUUGCCCAUAUUAACUGAGUGAAUGUGAGUUUUGUGUUAGCUAUUGAAAAAAAUGUCAUGUGAAGGCCUUUCUAGAGAUUUUUAUCAAAUACCUAUUAGUGAAGACGGUGUGAGUUUGCAUGUAUUUUACACUUCAAUCAAAGGCGUGCAUAACUCCUAGUAGACAAGUUGCGAUCAUAUGUAUACAUAUAGUAAUAUGUAUAUGCACACACAUACUUUGCUUUACAGAAAAUAUAUGUAUAGGACAACCUGUAGGUGUAAAACAGGCGUAUAAUGUCAACCAUGUUUUUCUUCAUGCUCAUUCCAAAGCAUUUAUACGUAUAAUUAAAGAAAAAAAGAAAAAAAAAAACAGCCUUACUUUUCACCUGUAUUUUGUAAAUCAUAGGAUAGAAAAGAACUGGUAAAGUGGUGUACGCUUUGGUUUUGUUUUGAAAUCCUGCAUUUUUAUUGGUGGCAUCAUGAAUUAAAGCGGCGGUAAAUGCUA